rnacentral:rRNA from 1 species
CACGUAGGGCGCAAGCGUUGUCCGGAAUUAUUGGGCGUAAAGAGCUCGUAGGCGGUCUGUUGCGUCUGCUGUGAAAACCCGGGGCUUAACCCCUGGCUUGCAGUGGAUACGGACAGACUAGAGGUAGGUAGGGGAGAAUGGAAUUCCCGGUGUAGCGGUGAAAUGCGCAGAUAUCGGGAGGAACACCGGUGGCGAAGGCGGUUCUCUGGGCCUUACCUGACGCUGAGGAGCGAAAGCGUGGGGAGAGAACAGG